rnacentral:rRNA from 1 species
AGGACGAACGCUGGCGGCGUGCUUAACACAUGCAAGUCGAGCGGAAAGGCCCUUCGGGGUACUCGAGCGGCGAACGGGUGAGUAACACGUGAGCAACCUGCCCUUAGCUCUGGGAUAGCUCCGGGAAACCGGAAUUAAUACCGGAUAUGACCUAGGCCGACAUCGGCCGUGGUGGAAAGUUUUUCGGCUAGGGAUGGACUCGCGGCCUAUCAGCUAGUUGGUGGGGUAAUGGCCUACCAAGGCGACGACGGGUAGCCGGCCUGAGAGGGCGACCGGCCACACUGGGACUGAGACACGGCCCAGACUCCUACGGGAGGCAGCAGUGGGAAUCUUGCGCAAUGGGCGAAAGCCUGACGCAGCGACGCCGCGUGGGGAUGAAGGCCUUCGGGUUCGUAACCCCUUCAGCAGGGACGAAGCGAAAGUGACGGUACCUGCAGAAGAAGCGCCGGCUAACUACGCGCCAGCAGCCGC